GGCACCCCACCUCAGACUCUCCCAUCCCCACCUCCCCGCCCCAGGGCACCAUCUGUGGCCUUAGCUUUAUUGGCAUCUGUUGGGGGACAGAGACAACCCAAGGGGAAGGGCGAGGAGCUGCUUGAGUUCCCAGUGAGGUGGGGAGUGGCCACCUGCUGGGGUUGGUUGAGCCGGGUGCUGGGAUGUGGGCGCUGGGCCUCAAGAGCCUUUGCGCUGUGGGGGAGGCUGAGGCCAUAAAGCAGCUCACACGGGCAGAGGAACGGGAGGGGAGAUGAGGGGGCUGCAGAGCUUGGGGCCCCUGAAACAGGCAUCUGGCGGCCGGCAGAAGAGGCACAGUGACGGGGUGGGGGGAUCCCCAGUAGAGGUCUCUGAGACACCAAUCUCAGAGCCUCCUGCAUCCCCUACCUCGGGCAGUCACAGGGACCCCGUCCCCUGGCUCCCUGAUGUCUUGGGGCUGCCACCCUCUCUUUGGAUCAGGCCCUACCUCUCGCUCCCAAUGGCAUCCCCUUCCUCACUGUCCCGGGGGUCCAGCCCCCAUUUGCUUCCACCUGCCACAGACUCUGCACCAUCCAGAAGGCCCAGUCUCUCUCCUGGAGGCCCUUCCCAGCCCACCCUGCGCAGCUGGCCUCGCCCCCACCCCCCUCUCGGACCCAUGCCCAUGAGCUGCUCGUCACACAGCCCUCCCUACCCUGGCUGAGGCUGGUGUCUCCACAGGGCUGUCUUUCAGGACACAGUUCACAUCUCCUUCCUGAACUUGGGAUGUGUGUAACAGGAAGCAAACACAACGCCAGAGAAAAAAUCAGCCACACCCGGAUCUUAGAGAUGUGGACAUGUUGGCCGGUAGAUGAAAAACGCAGUCAUAGAAAUCAUAAGCAAUCACCAACGAGCUGAGUGCUACAAAACAGAAGUGGAGGAGGGAGACAGAAGAAGGUGACCUAAUCGGGAAGGUGGGGUUAGAAGCUGGGCAUGGUGGCGGCACCUGCAAUUCCAGCUACUCGGGAGGCUGAGGUGGGAGCAUCGCUUGAGCUCAGGAGUUCGAAUCCAGC
rnacentral:lncRNA from 1 species